GUAAGUUUUUUAUAUUAGAAAAUCUGAAACCUCUCUGAAACAAGACUAAGUCUUGUGAAGGCAUUUGGAAAUAAUGUGCUUCCUGUACACAGAGUAGAAGUCAGUUUCUCACUUCAUUCACCACUUAGUUCUUAUCAUGAUCCAAAUCUGUUGGUUUUAUUCUAGAAAAUAAUUUCAAGUUGGGACUGCAGAGUAUGUUUGAUUUAAGUGAAAAACAUCAGAUCCUGUCCACAUAACAGAAACCAAGCAAAAUGAGAGAGUGAGACUGGCAGAGUACAAAAAAUGUGCAGAUCCCCAACGUUGGAACAGCUCAGUUUUUGCAUAGCUGUGAACUAAGCUGUCUAAAAUCUAAAGUUCCAUAGCACAUGGAGAAGAAAAACAAGCAGUCUGAGAACAGGCAAGAAUGAGGGUUUUCUGAACAGCUUUUCUUUGGUGUCACCCUUUUACACAGAAAGCUUUCAAAUCUUUCCUGAUGUGGCUCUUUAGCUUGCUGAUACAGCCCAGGUUUUGCACACCUGUUGGUGUAGGAAAGUGGCUGCCCUGGCAGAGGAGAGGCCAGAGGCUUUUGCACAGUGCAAGUUUUGGCUGAAAGGAAAAGUUUACAGCCUCUUCAGCUGUGACAACAGGCUCUGGAUGUGUAGCUUGUUUCAAAAAUGCUUCAGUGCACUCAGACAGGCCAAGCAGUACCUUUUUGCCUUUUCAAUGUUCCUUGUGAUGAGGUCAUUGUCCAUAUAAAACAAGCCAAUCCUGAGCAGGUAGAACACGAUGUCCAGGCGAUGUCCCAAGGCCACAGUUUUGUCGUAAGUCUUGCGGAAUGCAGUCAGAGCUCCCUCCUGGCAAAACAGUAUUUGCUGCUGUAAGAAUGUUAAAAGCACCCACAACAUUCACCAAAUACCUGUUGUAAGGACACCUGUUGUCUCCCACUGGUAGCUGUGACUUUGACAUUAUGCAUUCUGAAUAAUCUUAACGUAUCCAAAUUUAAAUCAAGUUAGAAAAGCUGUUCCUCAGGUAUCUUUUAAAGCUAAAGACUAUGGAAAUCUACUCUGUAACUUGAAAUUCAGCUGCAUGAUCUAAAUAGCUUGGAAGAGUCUGAAGGUGUAAGGAAAGUGAAUAAUGGUGUCUGCAAACUUUUCUCAUUGUCAAGAAAAAAAUUUUCUUUCGAGGACUGUUUUGUUUCUAGAUAAUUUAUACUUGAGUAAGACCCUCCCCUAUCUGCCAGCCACGUGUGAGAAAAUGCUCUGCAAGUCCCCCAGUGCUCACCCAGCUAACAGGGCUCCUAUGCAGUGUUUGCUACGAGUCCAUAAAGCCUCUGCUGUCACCAACCUUGUCCCCAAUCCUGCACAGGUACUCAGCCUUGGCCAUCAUUGCAUCCCGGAUUUCGCUCUCCCCCAGGAUCUUCUCUGCAUCUUCUAGCUCGUUGUCAAGACGUUUCAGCUCCUCCUCAUUGGCUUUCUUCAUCUUGUUCAGCAGAUCCGUGUCCAUCUGCCACUCCAGGGACUUGCACAGGGCUUCGUAGUACGGAGCCAUGUCUGAAAGAGAGGCAGGAAAGGUUCUGCUGAUCCUUGCUGCAACAAGAGUGUGUUUGUUCCUAAAAGGACAACAGGAGUGUCAACCAGAGAUGUCCCUUCUGUGAGCAGAUCCUGUGUUCCAGCUCGCCUGUUACAAUGCAGAAAGGAGGGUCCAUGGGAGAUGGUAGCCUGCGAGCCUGAAAUCAAAGUGAGGUUGCUGUAAUAUAUAUUGCAUCCUGCCUGUUUGCCAUGGUAAUGAUCUGGAGGGCAGAGACAUCCCAUCCUCAAAAGGAGAAGCAUAUUCUGGCUGGUGGAAGAGGACACAAUGUCCACAGAAGGACUCACACAAAGGAUUAAUUUCACCUGGUGCAAGUAUAGUGAAACCCAGUGAAUUCUCCUGACAUGUUUUCACUCCUGCAAGAAACAUGAUGGGAAGUGGAAGAUACGAUCAUCUCCCUCCCUAGUGGCAUCAUAGGUUUUCAGACACUUCUCCCCCUGACACACUGAAGCUGAAAGGCACACUAGGGUAAUGAUUUUGGAUUUUCC